CACAAUGUAGUGGAAGAAGAAUACAUCAAAAGAGUUCAAGAAAACAAGACACAUCUCUUCUAACUAUCCAGCAGAAACACUCAGUUUGCUGUUCGGAGCAUAUUUCCUGAGAGUUCCAGUGUUCUCUGAGAAACGAUGGCGUUGUGGACUGUCUAUCUGUCUCUCGGUCUUCUGGUCGCUUUGAAUGCUUCAGUGGAAACAAGUUCUGUUGGACAUAUUUAUUGUGGCAGUAGGUCUUCUCUUGUCUUCAACUUGCC